rnacentral:rRNA from 1 species
AUUGAACGCUGGCGGCAGGCCUAACACAUGCAAGUCGAACGGUAACAGGAAGCAGCUUGCUGCUUCGCUGACGAGUGGCGGACGGGUGAGUAAUGUCUGGGAAACUGCCUGAUGGAGGGGGAUAACUACUGGAAACGGUAGCUAAUACCGCAUAAUGUCGCAAGACCAAAGAGGGGGACGUUCGGGCCUCUUGCCAUCGGAUCUGCCCAGAUGGGAUUAGCUAGUAGGUGGGGUAACGGCUCACCUAGGCGACGAUCCCUAGCUGGUCUGAGAGGAUGACCAGCCACACUGGAACUGAGACACAGUCCAGACUCCUACGGGAGGCAGAAGUGGGGAAUAUUGCACAAUGGGCGCAAGCCUGAUGCAGCCAUGCCGCGUGUAUGAAGAAGGCCUUCGGGUUGUAAAGUACUUACAGCGGGGAGGAAGGCGAUAAGGUUAAUAACCUUGUCGAUUGACGUUACCCGCAGAAGAAUCACCGGCUAACUCCGUGCCAGCCGCCGCCGUAA